rnacentral:rRNA from 1 species
UACGUAGGGGGCUAGCGUUGUCCGGAAUCAUUGGGCGUAAAGAGCGUGUAGGCGGCCCGGUAAGUCCGCUGUGAAAGUCGGGGGCUCAACCCUCGAAUGCCGGUGGAUACUGGCAGGCUUGAAUCCGGGAGAGGGAUGUGGAAUUCCAGGUGUAGCGGUGAAAUGCGUAGAUAUCUGGAAGGAACACCGGUGGCGAAGGCGGCAUCCUGGACCGGUAUUGACGCUGACGGCGGCGAAAGCCAGGGGAGCAAGCGGG